AACGAACGCUGGCGGCAGGCCUAACACAUGCAAGUCGAGCGAGGACUUCGGUCCUAGCGGUGGACGGGUGAGUAACGCGUGGGAACGUGCCCUUUGCUCAGGAAUAGCCCCGGGAAACUGGGAGUAAUACCGUAUGUGCCCGAGAGGGGAAAGAUUUAUCGGCAAAGGAUCGGCCCGCGUUGGAUUAGGUAGUUGGUGGGGUAAUGGCCUACCAAGCCGACGAUCCAUAGCGGGUUUGAGAGGAUGAUCAGCCACACUGGGACUGAGACACGGCCCAGACUCCUGCGGGAGGCAGCAGUGGGUAAUCUUAGACAAUGGGGGAAACCCUGGUCUAGCCGUGCCGCGUGGGCGAUGAAGGCCUUAGGGUUGUAAAGCUCUUUCAGUGGGGAAGAUAAUGACGGUACCCACAGAAGAAGCCCCGGCUAACUCCGUGCCAGCAGCCGCCGUAAUAC
rnacentral:rRNA from 1 species